AUUGAACGCUGGCGGCAGGCCUAACACAUGCAAGUCGAGCGCCGUAGCAAUACGGAGCGGCAGACGGGUGAGUAACGCGUGGGAACAUGCCCUUUGGUUUGGAAUAACUCAGGGAAACUUGAGCUAAUACCGGAUAAGCCCUACGGGGGAAAGAUUUAUCGCCGAAGGAUUGGCCCGCGUCCGAUUAGCUAGUUGGUGUGGUAAUGGCGCACCAAGGCGACGAUCGGUAGCUGGUCUGAGAGGAUGAUCAGCCACACUGGGACUGAGACACGGCCCAGACUCCUACGGGAGGCAGCAGUGGGGAAUAUUGGACAAUGGGCGCAAGCCUGAUCCAGCCAUGCCGCGUGAGUGAUGAAGGCCCUAGGGUUGUAAAGCUCUUUCGGCGGGGACGAUAAUGACGGUACCCGCAGAAGAAGCCCCGGCUAACUUCGUGCCAGCAGCCGCCGUAACAC
rnacentral:rRNA from 1 species